GCAAUUCCAAGUCUGCUGCAAACUCGUUGGCUCAGUCUGAAGAAGUACAAGGUGCUGAAAGCAUUGAGAACAGUGAGCAGCAGGAUUCUGAAGAGGAUGAUGACAAGAAUUCAGAUAAAGAAGGCAUUGCAAAUGAGAAUAGGAAAUUGAAAGAGGAAGUAGCAGGUGAUAAAAAGAGGAAGAGGGAUGUCCAAACACAUUCAGUUAAGAAAGGUGCUGGACAAAACAGCGGUGCAACUAAAAAUGGAAAAACAGAAAACCAAGUGGUGGCAACAAAAAAGAGGGAAAAGAAGAAACCCCUUCCUAGAGAGGAAAUUGCAAAAGCUAGGGAGGAGAAGAGGAAAGCACUUAGGGAAGCUACACGAAAAGCCACGAUGAAGAACAAAUGAGGUCUGGUGAUAAGCCGAAGAUAUUUUACCAGAGGUGACAUGAGCGAACAUAAAACAAGAAACUCUGGUGAUUUUGUGAAAGCUCACCUCGCGUAUUAUUAGCACCUGCCAGCUAGUUGUAAUAUUUUUGUUAUUGGUUGAUGACUUUGAGAUGAAGAGAGCUGGAGGUCGUGUAUGAUUUUGCUUUAGAAAACAACU
rnacentral:misc_RNA from 1 species